rnacentral:rRNA from 1 species
AGAGUUUGAUCCUGGCUCAGGACGAACGCUGGCGGCGUGCUUAAGACAUGCAAGUCGUACGAGAAAGCCUCUUCGGAGGUUAGUAAAGUGGCGCACGGGUGAGUAACGCGUGGGUAAUCUGCCCUUUGGUUUGGGAUAACCCCGGGAAACCGGAGCUAAUACCGAAUAAGACCACGAUGACUUCGGUCGAUGUGGGAAAAGAUGGCCUCUUCUUGAAAGCUAUCACCGAUGGAUGAGCCCGCGUUUGAUUAGCUUGUUGGUGAGGUAAAAGCUCACCAAGGCUACGAUCAAUAGCUGGUCUGAGAGGACGAUCAGCCACACUGGAACUGAGACACGGUCCAGACUCCUACGGGAGGCAGCAGUCGGGAAUAUUGGGCAAUGGGCGAAAGCCUGACCCAGCAACGCCGCGUGAAGGAUGAAGGCCCUAGGGUCGUAAACUUCUGUCGAGAGGGAAGAAUGCUUGCGGGUAAAUAAUCCGUAAGUUUGACGGUACCUCCAAAGGAAGCACCGGCUAACUCCGUGCCAGCAGCCGCGGUAAUACGGAGGGUGCAAGCGUUGUUCGGAUUUAUUGGGCGUAAA